rnacentral:rRNA from 1 species
GGAUCAUUACCGAGUUUACAACUCCCAAACCCCCUGUGAACUUAUACCAUUUACUGUUGCUUCGGCGGGUCACGGCCCCGGGGAAGGAGAGCGGUCGCCGUCAGGCCUCAGCUGCCCGCCCCCGGAAACAGGCGCCCGCCGGGGAACUCAAACUCUUCUGUAUUUCUUUAUCUAAUAUAUACUGUCUGAGUAAAAACUAAAAUGAAUCAAAACUUUCAACAACGGAUCUCUUGGUUCUGGCAUCUGAUGAAGAACGCGCGAAAUGCGAUAAGUAAUGUGAAUUGCAGAAUUCAGUGAAUCAUCGAAUCUUUGAACGCACAUUGCGCCCGCCAGUAUUCUGGCGGGCAUGCCUGUUCGAGCGUCAUUUCAACCCUCAAGUCCCCUGUGGACUCGGUGUUGGGGACCGGCGAGACAGCCGCGGAUCUUCUUCCGCAGCGAGUCGCCGCCCCCCAAAUGACUUGGCGGCCUCGUCGCGGCCCUCCUCUGCGUAGUAUAGCACACCUCGCAACAGGAGCCCGGCGAAUGGCCACUGCCGUAAAACCCCCCAACUUUUUCAGAGUUGACCUC